rfam:Ovis aries breed Texel chromosome 18, whole genome shotgun sequence.
UCCCUGGUGGCUCAGACAGUACAGCAUCUGCCUGCAGUGCGGGUGACCAGGGUUCGUUCCCUGGCUGGGGAA